rnacentral:snRNA from 1 species
AUCUUUGCGCUUGGGGCAAUGACGCAGUUAGUGAGGUGAAACCGAGACGCGUCAAUUGCUGGUUGAAACUAUUUCCAUAAGUGGGAAACAUGUUUUGAAUCAAUCACAACACCUUCAAUUUGCUUGUAUGAGU